UAGACAACACAGCGAGCAAUACUGUGUUCAUGACCACGUCCCGACAACCACAGCACAAUUAAAAAUGAAAACAUCAAGAAAAAUACUUUAAAAUCAUUUCAUAGGAUUCAAAUAUUAAGAAACACGGCCUUGAUUGACGUCCACCACGAUGGCAAUGAACUAUUCCAACGUGAUGAGAAGAAGCGUAAACAACAAAGACGCGAAACCUGGACAAAUAAAUAUGAAACAUGUUUAAAUCUUGCUUUGAAAUUAUGAAUUUUUUUCGAGUGCAGUUUGAAAAAAAAAAACCAUCACGAGUGCAGAUUAAAAUCAAAUGUCAUGAGCCGAGGUAAGGCGAGAUAUGUACGAGAACUCAUUUGAUUUUCUUUCAAUAAUAUGACUGUAAUAAACUGUGAAGCAGUUCAAA